rnacentral:lncRNA from 10 species
UGAUGAUUCCUCUUGAGUCCAUUCAAUGACACCAUUCGAUUCAAUUUGAUGAAGAUUCCAUUAGAGUCCAUUCGAUGAUGAUUCCAUUCAAGUCCAUUCAAUGAUUCCAUUCGGUUCCAUUUGAUGAUGAUUCCAUGGGAUUCCAUUCAAUGAAUCCAUUCGAUUCCACUUGAUGAUUCCAUUUGAUUCCAUUUGAUGAUGAUUCCAUUCGAUUCCAUUCGAUGAUUCUAUUCGAAUCCAUUU